UGGGGAAUAUUGGACAAUGGGGGCAACCCUGAUCCAGCCAUGCCGCGUGAGUGAUGAAGGCCUUCGGGUUGUAAAGCUCUUUUGGCGGGGACGAUGAUGACGGUACCCGCAGAAUAAGCUCCGGCUAACUCCGUGCCAGCAGCCGCGGUAAUACGGAGGGAGCUAGCGUUGUUCGGAAUUACUGGGCGUAAAGCGCACGUAGGCGGCUAUUCAAGUCGGGGGUGAAAGCCCGGGGCUCAACCCCGGAACUGCCCUCGAAACUAGAUAGCUAGAAUCUUGGAGAGGCGAGUGGAAUUCCGAGUGUAGAGGUGAAAUUCGUAGAUAUUCGGAAGAACACCAGUGGCGAAGGCGACUCGCUGGACAAGUAUUGACGCUGAGGUGCGAAAGCGUGGGGAGCAAAC
rnacentral:rRNA from 1 species